UACGAAGGGGGCUAGCGUUGCUCGGAAUCACUGGGCGUAAAGCGCACGUAGGCGGAUCUUUAAGUCGGGGGUGAAAUCCUGGAGCUCAACUCCAGAACUGCCUUCGAUACUGAGGAUCUCGAGUCCGGGAGAGGUGAGUGGAACUGCGAGUGUAGAGGUGAAAUUCGUAGAUAUUCGCAAGAACACCAGUGGCGAAGGCGGCUCACUGGCCCGGUACUGACGCUGAGGUGCGAAAGCGUGGGGAGCAACAGGGAUUA
rnacentral:rRNA from 1 species